rnacentral:rRNA from 1 species
AUUGAACGCUGGCGGCAGGCCUAACACAUGCAAGUCGGACGAGUGGCGGACGGGUGAGUAAUGUCUGGGAAACUGCCUGAUGGAGGGGGAUAACUACUGGAAACGGUAGCUAAUACCGCAUACCAUCGGAUGUGCCCAGAUGGGAUUAGCUAGUAGGUGAGGUAACGGCUCACCUAGGCGACGAUCCCUAGCUGGUCUGAGAGGAUGACAAGCCACACUGGGACUGAGACAAGGCCCAGACUCCUACGGGAGGCAGCAGUGGGGAAUAUUGCACAAUGGGCGAAAGCCUGAUGCAGCCAUGCCGCGUGUAUGAAGAAGGCCGUCGGGUUGUAAAGUACUUUCAGUGGGGAGGCGUUACCCGCAGAAGAAGCACCGGCUAACUCCGUGCCAGCCGCCGCGGUAAUUC